AAUAUUGCACAAUGGAGGAAACUCUGAUGCAGCGACGCCGCGUGAACGAUGAAGGCCUUCGGGUCGUAAAGUUCUGUCCUAGGGGACGAUAAUGACGGUACCCUAGGAGGAAGCCCCGGCUAACUACGUGCCUGCAGCCGCGGUAAUACGUAGGGGGCGAGCGUUAUCCGGAAGUAUUGGGCGUAAAGGGUGCGUAGGCGGCCUUUUAAGUCAGAUGUGAAAGGCUACGGCUUAACCGUAGUUAGCAUUUGAAACUAAAAGGCUUGAGUGCAGGAGAGGAGAGUGGAAUUCCUAGUGUAGCGGUGAAAUGCGUAGAUAUUAGGAGGAACACCAGUGGCGAAGGCGACUCUCUGGACUGCAACUGACGCUGAGGCACGAAAGCGUGGGGAGCGAACAGG
rnacentral:rRNA from 1 species